AAAAGAACCUGAAACCGUGUACGUACAAGCAGUGGGAGCACAGGUUUACCUGUGUGACUGCGUACCUUUUGUAUAAUGGGUCAGCGACUUAUAUUCUGUAGCAAGGUUAACCGAAUAGGGGAGCCGGAGGGAAACCGAGUCUUAAUUGGGCGUUAAGUUGCAGGGUAUAGACCCGAAACCCGGUGAUCUAGCCAUGGGCAGGUUGAAGGUUGGGUAACACUAACUGGAGGACCGAACCGACUAAUGUUGAAAAAUUAGCGGAUGACCUGUGGCUGGGGGUGAAAGGCCAAUCAAACCGGGAGAUAGCUGGUUCUCCCCGAAAGCUAUUUAGGUAGCGCCUCGUGAACUCAUCUCCGGGGGUAGAGCACUGUUUCGGCUAGGGGGCCAUCCCGGCUUACCAACCCGAUGCAAACUGCGAAUACCGGAGAAUGUUAUCACGGGAGACACACGGCGGGUGCUAACGUCCGUCGUGAAGAGGGAAACAACCCAGACCGCCAGCUAAGGUCCCAAAGUCAUGGUUAAGUGGGAAACGAUGUGGGAAGGCCCAGACAGCCAGGAUGUUGGCUUAGAAGCAGCCAUCAUUUAAAGAAAGCGUAAUAGCUCACUGGUCGAGUCGGCCUGCGCGGAAGAUGUAACGGGGCUAAACCAUGCACCGAAGCUGCGGCAGCGACGCUGAUGCGUUGUUGGGUAGGGGAGCGUUCUGUAAGCCUGCGAAGGUGGCCUGUGAGGGUUGCUGGAGGUAUCAGAAGUGCGAAUGCUGACAUAAGUAACGAUAAAGCGGGUGAAAAGCCCGCUCGCCGGAAGACCAAGGGUUCCUGUCCAACGUUAAUCGGGGCAGGGUGAGUCGACCCCUAAGGCGAGGCCGAAAGGCGUAGUCGAUGGGAAACGGGUUAAUAUUCCCGUACUUGGUGUUACUGCGAAGGGGGGACGGAGAAGGCUAUGUUGGCCGGGCGACGGUU
rnacentral:rRNA from 1 species